rnacentral:tRNA from 1 species
GGUUGUGGCUCAGAGGUAGAGUGCUCGCCUAGCAUGUGUGAGGCUAUGGGUUCGAUCCUCAGCACCA